UGGAGACCCCGGCUCAGAGUGGGUCGGAUCUGGGACUUCCGGUUUUUCUCUAACCUGACGGGAACCCGACCUUUGACCUUCGACCUCCCCUCAGGACUUGAGAAGCCUAACUUCUUGUAGUUUGGCAUCUCCAGCACCUGGACCCUCCAGCAGUUUAAUCCAUUCAUUCCUCGGCUUGAAAGGUUGAUUGAGUCUAUUAUUCCAGUGUUGAAAACCGGCUGGCACAGCCCCCACCAUCUGUCACUGGAAGGUUUUGGAGACUCCACCGUUGGCCAAGGACCCUACCAUUGCACCAGGAAAGUAGGAAAGCAAAAUAAGGAUCGUGGUCUCGUGGAGCCGAAGAAUGGAGACACAGACCAGAGAGGUAAAGUUGCAGAAAAGGACAGUUUAUCAGAAGAAAAAAU